rnacentral:ribozyme from 1 species
UAAAGCAUUCAACCCGCUGUGGUAGACUAAGCCCCUACUCAAUACGUCCACGUCGUGCAGAACGGUAACUUGUCGCCCAGAUCCAAGCUUGGGUACACGGGGAAACCCAACCCCUUGGGUGGAUGGGCGGCAAGGCUGAAUUGAGAGGU